ACCAGAAGAGAUUUUGGGGGGGGGGGGGGGGGGGAGGGAAAAAAGAAGAAGACUUAACCUAUUCGGAGGAUUUUGCAUGCCAAAGUAUGGAUCAUUAGAUAAUUUCAUGCAUAGCAUAUGUCUUAGGUCUGCAGGCAAUCUGGAAUGCAGUAUAAAAGCCUAUAGAACAUAAGGCUCUUCCAUCCACUUCUCUUGUCCUAUUCGCCAGGUGAACAGACGACUCUCCAUCCUGCAGACAUGUCCUCCAAUGACCUGUGUGCUCCCACCCCCUGCGGCCCAACACCAUUGGCCAACAGCUGCAAUGAGCCCUGUGCCCAGCAGUGCCAGGAGUCCACCUACAUCAUCCAACCACCUCCAAUGGUGGUGACCUUGCCAGGACCCAUCCUCAGCUCCUUCCCCCAGAACACUGCUGUAGGAUCCUCCACCUCUGCUGCUGUGGGCAGCACCCUCAGCUCUGAGGGAGUGCCCAUCACCUCUGGCAGCUCCUUGGGAUUUGGAAGCCUUGGUUAUCCCAGUCUGGGCAGUGGGUACAGCCGGCCUAACCGCCGCUACAACACCUACCGCAGCGGCUUCAAUGGGCCGUGCUAGAGCAUGAGGAGCAGGCAGGAAGCAGUGACCAGAAAUGAAGCAUGGCCUGAGUGGGAGAGAGAUCCUGGCCAUGGUUACGUGGUAUUGGACACCCACAACUCUGCCUCAAGUUAAUGGAGAUGUGUGAGCUUGGCAUCCCCUAAAAUCAGAUCUUUGUUUGUCUUAUAUUUUGGAUUCCUCGUAUUUCUAUUGAACUUUUCUUCCUGUAUCUGAGACUUUAUUGUUUCAGUACAUGGUAGCACUAAAAGACGAAACCUACGAUGAAAAGACACAUCAGUCAUUGUCUUCCUGAUUCCUUGAUGUGCUUAUACUUUGUACUUUUUUAUUCCACUUCUUGCUCAUUAAAGUUAUGCUGCAUCACAUAA